AAUAAUGAGAGAGAAAGAAAGAAAAACAAUCAGACACGGAGAAGAUAGGAGUUAAAAAUAUGUGUAUGUACAUAUUCAUACCCCUCAAAAUUUUUCACAUUUUGUCACACCUAACAGUUUUCUUCGAUGAUUGUUCUGUUUUUAGCUUUAUCCAUCAUCUCAUCCGUCCUGACCAAUUUCUUUGUUCAAGAAAAGUAUGCCCACAGCAUGAUGCUGCCAUCACCAUGCAGAAUGGUGUAUUAAGGGUGAUGUGGGGUCAUAGUUUUGUGCCUCACAUAACAUUCUGCACAUUGGCCAAAGAGUUAAAUUUUUGUCUCAUUUUAUCAGAGCACAUUCAUAUUUCCUGUGUUUCCUGCUUUACGUGUAGCACACUGGAGUUGGGUCUUCUCUGAGUUUUCUUGAAACAGUAACAUUCUUCUUACCACUCUUCCAUCGAGGCUAUGUUCGUUAAGUACAUGGUGCAUUAAUUAACAGUUCUGUCAACAGAUUCUCCCACAUGAGCUGUUGAUCUUUGCAGCUCCAGAGUUACCACAGUUCUCUCAGCUGCUUCUGAUUGAUGCUGUCCUUGCCUGGCCUGUCAGUUUAUGUGAACAACAUCUGGAACAGCUGAAUAUCUACUGACAUUAAACUGCACACUGCUGGACUCAGUUUAUAAACAGAUCCCAACAGGAAUCCAGAAAUUGGACCCAGGACAACUGUGUUGUGGAUUGUAGCUUCUGCAUGCCUGCUCCACCAAGGUCUUGGCCAAAGUGUCGCAGGAGCUGUAGCUGACCCCAGAGAAGGCCUCUUUGCAAGGCAAGGUCCUCAUGGCAUCCAUCCAGUCACCCAUCGUCCCCAUUGAGGGAACUUCUGCACUGCUCCUG